GCCUUCGUGGUGUAGUGGCCAGCACGCUCGACGCAUAACAGAGAGGUCCAUGGUUCGAUUCCUGGCGAAGGCG
rfam:Stegodyphus mimosarum contig119417, whole genome shotgun sequence.